rnacentral:lncRNA from 1 species
AUGUCCGCCGGUUUCAUCGACUCGCACACUAGCUACGCCUACGUCAAUGACAGCUCGCAGCUCUACGGGAAGAAAAGCUACGGGAACGACCUCGACUACGGAACGGGGAAUGGAAGCGACCGGUAUCACGUGACGUUCAACAGCGGAACAGGGACGGGGACCGCGCGUCGGAAGCCGUCAGGCAAGUACACUGCCGUCGGUGAUGGAUAUAGUUCCGGUGAUGGGUACUACGGCUCUGUCUCUAUGGCCCCCGAUGAAGAUCUCUACUCGAGGAAAGGGACGGUGGGUCAGACGAACAUCAUGAGCUCGUACGGGGUCUACGGGGAGGAGACGGACGACGGCGACGAGGAGGGGUUCUCGAAGACCUCCAAGGAGACGGCCGUCUACUACCCGGAACCGGUCCUCGUCGUCUCCAAGCAGAAGGACGGCUCCACGACGAGCGUCCUCCGCUCGGCGGCGGAUCUGGAGGCCCGCGGCGGCGGCCGUGGAGGCGGCGCGGGGUGCUUCUGGUGCUCCUGCUCCGAGAAGCGGCCCAACCUGGACGUCGACGACCAGAUGGCCUCCUUCGACACCUCCGGCUGGUGCAAACCGGCCGUCCUGCUCAUCGUUCUCGUUCUCCUGCUUGUCCUAUUCUUCGUCGUCUCCGGCAUUCUUCUCUACUUCAAUUAUGCAGCUUACACACCAAGGACGCCAAUCAUUGAAGGUAUGUCUCAUUAAAUUUUCUGCCCUCGAUUUUACUUCUCUCCACAUUGUGGAAGAAGUUUUUUCCGGUCUAGCAUUUCUUAUGUAAAUUAACCAGUCCACUGAUCAAUGGGUCAGUUGUGCUGAUGACAGAAUCGUGUUUUGAUGUUUGACUCUUGCGGAUCAGAUAGAAAUAAUAACAUUUGUCCAAACAGCAACUAACUUUGUUCAAUAUUAACCGACGCGACGUAUCGCGCUUUGAAAAAUUCAGUUUAUGACGUCAUCCACCGCGGUAGUGAUUCAUCCACCGUGAAUUGCUUUCAUCCGGUUUCAAGUUGAGUAAUCAGAGAAAAUGUGUGUCUCCCUGAUAAAUGAAAGCAAGGUGGAAAAAAAGAAAGGUGUUACUACCGCGGUGGAUGACGUCAUAAGCGGAAUUUUUCAAAGCGUUGCAUGAUAUCUUGGUUAAUAUUGAGCGUAGAGAGUUGCUGUUCGGACAGAUCUUUUUGUGUGUAGCUGCUUCAUAAGGAUCAAGCAACAAAACAAGAUUUUGUGACCGACGCAACUGACUUUUGAAACAAAGCCCAACCAGUCACAACAUACCUACUCUGAUCUAUUAGGUAGAAAACACACUACACGAGGGUAGUUGAAACGCGGAGGAUGCGGGGCAGUGGCGAGGUGUGAAUGAUCGAUUAUCGAUAUUUCCACAUUUGAAGCCGUAAUAAAGAAUCGAUUAUUAAGGUAUUCGAUGUGAACACCCAGUUCACCGAUCAUUUUCCGUAGGUUUGAAUGGCAGUUUAAUCGAUACAUCGCAGAUGCGGGGAGGGCGGAGCUUCGACUUUUUCAAGGAGAAUCACAAUUACGAUGGAAUAUUUUAUCAUCUCCGCUCCGGCGCGGAGUGCAAAGGACGUCUUAAUAACUCAUUUGUCGAGCACUUCCGAUUCAUCAUUAAAAAUUUCUGCCUCCUCGACAAUCGGCGCCGGUGCUGCACCCUAUUUCCGCGACCUCGAAACUCGAGCACGAUCUCUUCGAUGAAUCGAGGAUCGAUUCCAUUGAAGCGAUUCCUUCCUCACGGAGAAAAAAGAAUCGUUGCCAUCACGAUGCUCAUUGCUGAUUCCAGGCCCCCUUAUUUUUCUAGUCGCGUGGUUACAAUGUUAUUUUUGUGAUGACAAUAGAGCUCUUGCAUGGUGGGGGAUUUGAAAUCUAUGCACCGAUUACCACGUAAAAUUUCGCGAGACAUACGAUGGGGCACUGGUUUUCUGUAAGACAAACUCCAAAGCUUACACAAAAAACUCUCAAAGUUCAGGCCUUAAUGGAGGAUGACCCGUGCUGCGUUGAGAGUUCACCUUUGCCGCUUUGUUUGGGACUCCAAAACUGAAAACAAGGCAACCCUACUAGUGUGUUUACUCUCUAUCUGUGCAUGGAGAGUUUGAAUGGAUUUAGAGGUGGACUUACAACGUGGCGUGGGAAUAAAAUGAUUAGAAAAGGAAGAAAACUAAAAAAAAUCUACCUUGCUACCUAAAAAGCACAACCGGAAUUUUGACAAAAAAGCGGAUGGAACCAGGAAUUUACAAUGACCAGUUUUACCGUUUUUUUUUUUAUCUUUUUGUGCUUCUUCCUCCGAUGUCUACUACGUCUUCGUUUGACAUACUUUAACAAUGCCAAAACCGAAGUUAGACGAGAGGCGGAUCCAGCAAUUUGGCAACACCGGAGUCCCACCAUUCAAACCUAUGUUAACUAAUCGAUUCUUGUCGGAGCACCUGGCCUCUCCAAGAAUCAGUGGCGUAGCGUGCUUUGCGAUUUAUCGAUCGAUCUUUCAUUGAAACCUAUGGAAAAGGAUCGAUAAACAGGGCGCGUCCGCAACGGAAACCUCAAUUAUCGAUCUUUUACCAUAUCUUCAAAUGAGGAAAUAUCGAAAAUCGAUUAUUCACGCCUUGCCACUGCCAAGAAUCGAUAUAUUUCAAUAGGUUUAUAUGGAGAAAAACAAUGUUGCCAGUUUGCUGGAUCCGUCGAUGAGUUAGACAAGGGUCGAAUGACCGUCGACUUGACGAAUAUAUCGAAGCGGGCUGGUCCGGGGCGAGAAGAAAGAGGCUAAGACGACGUGAUUAAAGACCGUAAUUUCCAAUUUGCCAUCGAUUUUUCGCGCCCGGGAGCCCACAGUCUCGGCGCGAUGGCUCUCAAAAAUCGAGAGGCUCAAUUUAUUAUGGCGGCAACGGUUCCGUCGAAUUGUAUAAAUCUUCGCCGAACGAGGAGGAAAAUAUCACCCCUCCGAGUGGAGAUCGGUCGCAGAGCGCGGGAACACUCGACUUCUCGCCCCGCGAUUUUUCUUCCGGACGACCUUUUGACGUGGACUAAACAGCGAGUAAAAGCUCAUUCCGUUGCAACUGGAAAAAUUAUCCUCUCGCGAUGAUAUCAGACGCUUUUUCGGAGUGAACGAGUUCUCCGCCCGACUCGCAGUUUGAAGUUCAUUUCAGAUAAACUUAAAGAGACUGCUUUUUUCAGUAGGUAAGGAACUACUAAACUGCAGUAGCGCCAAAAUUGUGCAGCAUUUUUCAUGUCACUGAAAAAGAAAGAGAGAAACUGAAGAUUGGAAUAGUUUAUUUUUUCAUCAUAAAUCUGUUUCUUAAAAGAGAAAAUUUCCCUUUGUAUUUCAUUUAGUAAUCUACUUUCAUCUAUUUUAUUGUAAAUGUAGGAGUGGCACAAUCUUUACAAACAGUACUGCAUUAGGAAUUUUUAGUGUCAAAUAUCGAAGGUGUAGGUCGGCAAUCACAUAACUCGUUUGCGGUGUUUGAAAAUCUCCACCUCUAUGUUAUUUUUUUAAAGGAGAACAAAUUGACAUCAUUUCUUGAAGUUUUUGCAGAAUAUUCUGCGCACUGUGAAGAAAAAUCACGGCAUUUUUGAAGAGUUGCCGUUGAGUAGUUUCCCGUUUAAAAAAUAAAGUAUGACAGGAAGUCUGCGACGUCGCAAACCGAGUUAUGUGAUUGCCGACUUACCCGUCGAUAUGUAAUUGAGGUAUUUUUCGGUAAUAGGGCGUAUGAGGUCUGCAAUGCUGCUAAAAGUGUGCAAUUUUUUCCAGCGUUUUGCGACAGAUGACAGUCAUUCAUAGUCGACUUACUUCCUGACAACAGUAAGAAAGAACUCGGAGCAGAUUCAGGGAAAAAUUCAUAGCAGAAGUGCCGGGUAAGUUGCACAAUCUUAGCAGCAUUGGAAGUCUCAUACGCCCGUUUACGGAAAAAUACCUCAAUUAAAUUAGAGACCCUCAAAAUUUUAAUUGAGGAGAACCUCUAUUUCUGAUGUAGAACCUUUAAAGAGAGAUUAAUUUGCACCCAUAACAUUUCAUAAAUUGGCUUAGCUGUUUUAUGGGACCGUCAAGGACUACAAAAAGUGAUGAAUGCCACCAUCAGAUGACUUAAAAUGAUUUAGUCUGUGGUUUUCUUUCAAACUUUUCCAAAAAAGAAAAAAAAUCAAUUUUCCGCAAUCAUUCGCAAAACAAUCUUUUUAGCACAACCUUAAUAGACCUUUAGGCAAGGUGCAAAAUGCAUAACGAUAUUUGUAUUCUCAUCAUAACUCACGCAGAACACGAUUUGCACUACAAAAAUUACCCAAAAAAACCCUAAAAAAGAAAUCAAUGUUUUUCGAUGCAUGAAUUCAAACUUCCCGUUUUAUGUGCUGUCGUCAUCGUGACAGUCGUUCCAGAAUGAAAAUAUCGCAAUCUCAAUAUCGGCAAUUCGGCUCGGCUAUCGCACGUUUUUUGCACUUUGAACAACACAGAGUGGUAAAAGAACGCUGCUCGAUUGAAAAGCCCUGCCAAAACAGUUGUAUUGUGAAUAAUCUCCUUUUUAUUUCGAUAUGUAUUAUUUAUUUACUCAUUGGUUGUUUCACUUUGAUUAUAAAUACCUAUAUCUCCUCGCAACAACGACGUAUGAAUUUAGUGAUUGGCAUAUUGUGAUACCACAAGUGGAGAGAAUGUAAGGCGUUCCAGCUUCUUUAAUGGUUAGGUUUGCAUGCAACUAUUCGUGUUCGCGUGAUGUCCAUGUUGCAUACCAAAAUAUUGCAGGCGCUCUGGUUUUCUUAGAAACAACGAACGGCUGUGGUUGUUAGUUCUCACCGGUUUUCCAAGUUGGAUUUACAAUUGUGUUUACCAUGAGAUCUUUGGAGUUCGUAUGAGCCGUGUUGCAUCACGGCAGCGUUGUCUAAUGGUGCAUAUUUUCCACCAAAAACACUACCGCAAGCAUCGCAGAUGGGUCCUUACUGUAAAACAAAAAGAGACAUAAACGAAAUAAGAAAGACAAUCAGACCCAUGAAGUUAGCACUAUGUUCAGCAUAUCGAACUGUUUCUGAUGUAUGUUUGGACAUAAUAUCUGGAAUACCACCCCCCCAAAUUCUCAUUAAUAGUCAGGGAGAAAUACGGAAAAAAAGGCCUUAACCCGGAACAAAUUGCAUAACAAUUUAUUCCUGUGUAAACGUCAUCAGUAGGUCCUCCUGAACAACAUACAAAAAGUUUACCACGGUCCGACCCCGGAACACCCCCCAAAAUGACGAAAAUUCAAAAUGGCGGCCAUAAUAAGGGCAUGUGGGAUUUCGGUAUUUUAAAAUGUUCCUAUAGUGUCAUGUGAGGUAUCAUUUCCUAUGUAAUUUUGGUCGCAGAUUUCAUUUCUGAAGUCCAAAAAGCCCCUAGGUCAAAGGGGGUGACCCAACUCCAAGAUGGCGGCCAAAUUUGAAAGGCAAAAGGGUCAUUUUUCAACUUUCACGUGAUCGGGUA